GCCGACGGUAAUAUUACUGUCUACAAAGCUCGACUUGUCGCAAAAGGGUUUCGGCAAGUUCAAGGGAUUGACUACGAUGAGACCUUCUCACAUGUAGCGAUGCUUAAGUCUGUCCGAAUCAUGUUAGCAAUUGCCGCAUUUUAUGAUUAUGAAAUUUGGCAGAUGGAUGUCAAAACUGCAUUCCUGAAUGGAUUUCUGGAAGAAGAGUUGUAUAUGAUGCAACCGGAAGGUUUUGUCGAUCCAAAGGGAGCUAACAAAGUGUGCAAGCUCCAGCGAUCCAUUUAUGGACUGGUGCAAGCCUCUCAGAGUUGGAAUAAACGCUUUGAUAGUGUGAUCAAAGCAUUUGGUUUUAUACAGACUUUUGGAGAAGCCUGUAUUUACAAGAAAGUGAGUGGGAGCUUUGUAGCAUUUAUGAUAUUAUAUGUGGAUGACAUAUUACUGAUUGGAAAUGAUAUAGAAUUUCUGGAUAGCAUAAAGGGAUACUUGAAUAAGAAUUUUUCA
rnacentral:rRNA from 1 species